rnacentral:rRNA from 1 species
AUUGAACGCUGGCGGCAGGCCUAACACAUGCAAGUCGAACGAGUGGCGGACGGGUGAGUAAUGUCUGGGAAACUGCCUGAUGGAGGGGGAUAACUACUGGAAACGGUCGCUAAUACCGCCUACCAUCAGCUGUGCCCAGAUGGGAUUAGCUAGUUGGUGGGGUAACGGCUCACCUAGGCGACGAUCCCUAGCUGGUCUGAGAGGAUGACCAGCCACACUGGAACUGAGACACGGGCCAGACUCCUACGGGAGGCAGCAGUGGGGAAUAUUGCACAAUGGGCGCAAGCCUGAUGCAGCAAUGCCGCGUGUGUGAAGAAGGCCUUCGGGUUGUAAAGCACUUUCAGCGAGGAGGCGUGACUCGCAGAAGAAGCACCGGCUAACUCCGUGCCAGCAGCCGCGGUAAUAC